AUUGAACGCUGGCGGCAAGCCUUACACAUGCAAGUCGAACGGCGGCACGGGUGCUUGCACCUGGUGGCGAGUGGCGAACGGGUGAAUAAUAUAUCGGAACGUACCUUAUUGUGGGGGAUAACGCAGCGAAAGCUGUGCUAAUACCGCAUAAUCCCUAAGGGGGAAAGCGGGGGACCGUAAGGCCUCGCGCAAUUGGAGCGGCCGAUACCUGAUUAGCUAGUUGGUGAGGUAAAGGCUCACCAAGGCAACGAUCAGUAGCUGGUCUGAGCGGAAGCUCACCCAACCUGGAACUUAGACACGGCCCAGACUCCUACGGGAGGCAGCAGUGGGGAAUUUUGGACAAUGGGGGCAACCCUGAUCCAGCAAUGCCGCGUGAGUGAAGAAGGCCUUCGGGUUGUAAAGCUCUUUUGUCAGGGAAGAAACAGCAGCUCUAACACAGUUUGCGAAUGACGGUACCUGAAGAAUAAGCACCGGCUAACUACGUGCCAGCCGCCGCCGUAA
rnacentral:rRNA from 1 species